rfam:Macellibacteroides sp. HH-ZS contig_00012, whole genome shotgun sequence.
GCAGCAGACCGGUCUGUCGCUCACAUUCUAUGUGGGAGGAACGUCCGGGCAACGCAGAGCACCAUACUUCCUAACGGGAAGCUGUUUGUGAGAGCAGAGUAAUGUAACAGAAAAUAACCGCCGGCUUGCCGGUAAGGGUGAAAAGGUGAGGUAAGAGCUCACCGGGUUGCGUAGCAAUACGCGAUGCCGUACGUCUUAUGGGUUGUAAGGUCAUGUAUACCGGCGCAGUAGGAUUGCUCGUCCGAUGCCGGGGGGUAGACCGCUAGAGCCAGUUGGCGACAACUGGUCGAGAUAAAUGGCAGACGCCUUUGUUUUCGGACAAAGGUACAGAACCCGGCUUAUAGGUCUGCUGCAAUU